ensembl:lncRNA HULC hepatocellular carcinoma up-regulated long non-coding RNA
GGGUAGAGACGCUAGGCCGGCACUGCCUAGGUGGGCCGGGCGGUGCGAGGGUCGCCUUUCAGCCUUUACCUCUACCCACUGAAAUGGAGUAGGUCGGUGAGCGCCGAUCUGCUGGAGAAUCUCAUUAUCCCAUCGGCGCUCUGCCUGCUCCUGGCCUCCAAGCCUCUGAAGCCCCUCGGGUUUCAGCUGCCGGCUACCCUCGAGCCCGUGGUGCCCACGAGAGAGGCGACUUUACGUCAGCGGCCCUGGGCUGAGAUUUGAGAACGCGACCAAGUGGAGAAUGUUGGAGCCAGAUUUUAAAAUCCUUGUCUUCCUUCUGCGUGCUACUUGAUCUAAAUGAGAUACGGCAAAGUCACAGAACCUGUUUUUAUGUUUUUGCCUGAUUCAUACGGGCUUCUCCGGUGAAGAUGGGCCUGAAGUAACGCUUGGGUUGCUUCUGACGUUAUAACUCAUCCUGUAGCUGCAGCAACCGUGGUCCUUGCAACCUCAUAAAAAUGUUGCCAGCAUUGUUUCGAUAGUGCUGCUUAAUUCUUGGAAGGUUCUUCGGACUUCACACAUUCCAGCAGUAGCUCUCUCAGCUCCUGUCCUGCACAGCUUUGAAGUGCUGGUGAUGUCAUUGAACUCUUAAGUGCAAGAUGAAACAAGUCUUUCUGGGGUUCUAAGUAGGACACAGCCCUGGUGAUGGCUUUCUGAGGAUGACACGAUGGAGGCUUCUCCAAUAGCUCUAAAACUGCGGUGUGGAAAACAUUCGGCAGCCUCAAAGAGCGGUCUUGUUGACCCCAACUAUAUCAUUUUUCAUCAAAAUCAUUCUUGUAAAGAAUGACCAGGCAACACUCUUUGAAAAUUGGAGGCCAUUUGCAGCUGCUCUCUGUUGAGGAAAGUGAAUAAUAGGGUGCCCUCAAGGAAUUGCAAAGCUGCCAUGGACCCCCGAGUUGAAGGUCGUAUAACCUCAGCCUGCCCAAAUGAACCAAGCACACAACCACAGGGGGAACCCAAGAGUUCCAGUGGGAGAGCUGGAAGAGGAGGGACCAAUGUGAGAAGUGGACACCAUAUGGCAGGAUCCAGGAUCCAAUCAGACUGAGCCCUGGGGUCACCCCAUGGAAGGAUCCAGUUGGAUCAUGCCUCCUGGCAUCACCUACUGCAAGAUCCAAUCAGAUCACACCUCCUUACCCUAUGCUUAUAAAACCCCACCCAGCCCCCAGCCCGAAGAUACAGAUUUGAGUAUUUCCUCCUGUUUCCUUACCAGUCGAUUUGCAAUAAAGCUUUUUUUUUUUUCCUAAA